UACGAACUGUGCGAACGUUAUUCGGAAUCACUGGGCUUACAGGGUGCGUAGGCGGCUUGUUAAGUAGGGUGUGAAAGCCCCCGGCUCAACCGGGGAAUUGCGCCCUAAACUGGCGAGCUGGAGUGAGAUAGGGGUGUGUGGAACUUCCGGUGGAGCGGUGAAAUGUGUUGAUAUCGGAAGGAACGCCGGGAGCGAAAGCGACACACUGGGUCUUGACUGACGCUGAGGCACGAAAGCCAGGGGAGCGAACGGG
rnacentral:rRNA from 1 species